UUGAUUCGCGAAUCAGUUUGAAUGAUUUGUUCAGUUCCAGCACGCGCUGAAUCAUUUGAAGCGGUUUCUCACUCGGAGCGUUGGAUGAAGUGGCAGUGGACCUACAAUCAAUUAAAAGCAAAUCUGCAAAUGCAUACAGUUGUUUGCCAGCGAUGAAGACCUUUAUUAGUUGAGCUGCGUAUGCUGUCUGUGAACAAUUCCACAGAGCAGGACCCCAGAUGAAUGAUUGCCUGGGCUGAAAGUACAUGUUUCUCAAGGACCUCUGAUGGGCAGCGGAUAAUAAAAAUGAUGUCGCGGCAAGAGGAAGUGUUCUCUUGGCCCCUCCCCUCUCAUAAUCACAGUCCUCCCGGGCCAUUAUCCCACCCACCAGCACCGCCAAGCAAACUGCCAGGGAGAGCAGCACUCCAGCCGUGCAGUAAUGUUUUGAAGAGUGCGUUUGCAACAGGUCAGGGUGGAGUUUGAAUGUAUGACGAAGAGUGAAUUUGUGUGGUGUGUUUUUCCAGAUACAUAUAGUCUUAUUAUAUUUCAUCCAAGCAGAAAUGAAAAUUAUGAACUGCAGUUCAAUGUGUAAGAUAAAAAUAAUUUGAUUCUCUUAAAA